rnacentral:tRNA from 1 species
GAUAAUAUAGUUCAAUGGUAGAAUGAUGCUUAUGCAUAGAUCUGGGUUCAAAUCCCAGUAUUAUCA